CGUUCACUGUGAACAAAUCAGGACGCUUAGAGUAUGGCUACAUGAAUGACUCAGCGCAGUAUGAAGUCUUUGUUUUCUUCCGAAAACAAGCUCAAUGAGAGCCAUCGGGGGUAGAUCUAUCUCAUGACGAGUGGUGGAAUACUUUGACUCAUGAGAGAGAAUCUGAGGCGAAGGCGUCUACCUAGAGGGUUUCUGUCGAUCAAGGGCGAGAGUAGGAGUAUCCAACAGGAUUAGAGACCCUGGUAGUUCCUACCUUAAACGAUGCCGACAGGAGUUUGUCACUUGUUAGUGGCAGAAUCUUUGGAGAAAUCA
rnacentral:rRNA from 1 species